CCAGAUCGCGCAGCGCACGGCAGCAGCACAACCUUCACUUGGUCGCGCCACCACCGUGCCUACUGCUCCGCUUCUCUCCACGCCGCCAGCCCCAUUUCCGGUUAGUCGCAUUCCGGCAACACUAUAAAAUUGGGUAUUAGGAAGUUGCCGAUCCAACGGAAGCUCUACAAUCUUCUCCGUAGAGUUAUAAAUGUAAACUUUAUAUUUCUGUUAUUUAAAUUUGGAUGUAGUAAUUAUUCUAUUAUUUGAUUAUUAUUGAACUCC